rnacentral:rRNA from 1 species
AGCGGCGCACGGGUGAGUAACACGUGGAUAACCCGCCUCGAAGUGGGGAAUAACCCCGGGAAACCGGAGCUAAUACCGCAUAAUCUGACGAGAUCUGUGGAUUUUGUCAGCAAAGGAGCAAUUCGCUUUGAGAGGGGUCCGCGGCUGAUUAGCUAGUUGGUGAGGUAAUGGCUCACCAAGGCCACGAUCAGUAGCCGGUCUGAGAGGACGGUCGGCCACACUGGAACUGAGACACGGUCCAGACUCCUACGGGAGGCAGCAGUGGGGAAUUUUUCGCAAUGGGGGCAACCCUGACGAAGCAACGCCGCGUGGGUGAUGAAGUAUUUCGGUACGUAAAACCCUUUCGACGGGGACGAAACCGCAAGGUUGACGGUACCCGUAGAAGAAGCCCCGGCUAACUCCGUGCCAGCAGCCGCGGUAAUACGGGGGGGGCAAGCGUUGUUCGGAAUUACUGGGCGUAAAGGGCGCGUAGGCGGUUUGCUAAGUUGGAUGUGAAAACUCUGGGCUUAACCCAGAGCCUGCAUCCAAAACUGGCAAACUUGAGUACUGGAGGGGAAAGCGGAAUUCCUGGUGUAGCGGUGAAAUGCGUAGAUAUCAGGAGGAACACCGGUGGCGAAGGCGGCUUUCUGGACAGUAACUGACGCUGAGGCGCGAAAGCUAGGGGAGCAAACAGGAUUAGAUACCCUGAUAGUCCUAGCCCU